CUACGGAGGGUGCAAGCGUUACUCGGAAUCACUGGGCGUAAAGGACGCGGAGGCGGGUUGGCAAGUCAGAUGUGAAAUCCUACAGCUUAACUGCAGAACUGCAUUUGAAACUGCUAACCUAGAGUAUGGGAGGGGGAGAUGGAAUUAGUGGUGUAGGGGUAAAAUCCGUAGAUAUCACUAGGAAUACCGAAAGCGAAGGCGAUCUCCUGGAACAUAACUGACGCUAAGGCGUGAAAGCGUGGGGAGCAAACAGGAUUAGAAACCCGAGUAGUCC
rnacentral:rRNA from 1 species